AGAGUUUGAUCCUGGCUCAGGACGAACGCUGGCGGCGUGCUUAACACAUGCAAGUCGAGCGAACAGAUCCUGAGCUUGCCCCUUUGACGUUAGCGGCGAACGGCUGAGUAACACCCGGCCCCCCUACCUAUAAUACUGGGAUAACUUCGGGAAACCGGAGCUAAUACCGGAUAACACUCAUGGCCGCAGGGGUCUAAAGUGAAAGAUGGUUUUGCUAUCCCUUAUCUAUGGACCCGCGCCGGAUUAACUAGUUGACAAGGGAACGGCUUACCAAGGCGACUAUACGUACCCCACCUGACAGGGUGAUCGACCACCCUGCAACUGACACACGGUCCACACUCCUACGGAAGGCAGCACUAUGGAAUCUUCCGCGAUGGGCGAAAGCCUGACGGAGCAACGCCGCGUGAGUGAUGAAGGGUUUCGGCUCGUAAAACUCUGUUAUGAGGGAAGAACUGAUGUGUAAUUGACUGUGCACGUCUUGACGGUACCUAAUCAGAAAGCCACGGCUAACUACGUGCCAGCAGCCGCGGUAAUACGUAGGUGGCAAGCGUUAUCCGGAAUUAUUGGGCGUAAAGCGCGCGUAGGCGGUUUCUUAAGUCUGAUGUGAAAGCCCACGGCUCAACCGUGGAUGGUCAUUGGAAACUGGGAAACUUGAGUGCAGAAGAGGAAAGUGGAAUUCCAUGUGUAGCGGUGAAAUGCGCAGAGAUAUGGAGGAACACCAGUGGCGAAGGCGACUUUCUGGUCUGUAACUGACGCUGAUGUGCGAAAGCGUGGGGAUCAAACAGGAUUAGAUACCCUGGUAGUCCACGCCGUAAACGAUGAGUGCUAAGUGUUAGGGGGUUUCCGCCCCUUAGUGCUGCAGCUAACGCAUUAAGCACUCCGCCUGGGGAGUACGACCGCAAGGUUGAAACUCAAAGGAAUUGACGGGGACCCGCACAAGCGGUGGAGCAUGUGGUUUAAUUCGAAGCAACGCGAAGAACCUUACCAAAUCUUGACAUCCUUUGAAAACUCUAGAGAUAGAGCCUUCCCCUUCGGGGGACAAAGUGACAGGUGGUGCAUGGUUGUCGUCAGCUCGUGUCGUGAGAUGUUGGGUUAAGUCCCGCAACGAGCGCAACCCUUAAGCUUAGUUGCCAUCAUUAAGUUGGGCACUCUAGGUUGACUGCCGGUGACAAACCGGAGGAAGGUGGGGAUGACGUCAAAUCAUCAUGCCCCUUAUGAUUUGGGCUACACACGUGCUACAAUGGACAAUACAAAGGGCAGCUAAACCGCGAGGUCAUGCAAAUCCCAUAAAGUUGUUCUCAGUUCGGAUUGUAGUCUGCAACUCGACUACAUGAAGCUGGAAUCGCUAGUAAUCGUAGAUCAGCAUGCUACGGUGAAUACGUUCCCGGGUCUUGUACACACCGCCCGUCACACCACGAGAGUUUGUAACACCCGAAGCCGGUGGAGUAACCAUUUAUGGAGCUAGCCGUCGAAGGUGGGACAAAUGAUUGGGGUGAAGUCGUAACAAGGUAACC
rnacentral:rRNA from 1 species